UUCCCUUUCAUGAAUGUGACCUACCGAAUUAGACUAUUUACCGGAUUUGUAAUCAAAUAAGCAACACGACGGGUGCCACAUGUGGAGCAGGAUCUGCUUACCCUUCCCGAGCACCUGAGAUCACCCCUAGGUUUUGGUGGGGUUCGUGUUGUUUAUUCUUUAGUUUCUAUGUUGUGUCAUGUGUACUAUUGUUUUUCUGUUUGUCUUUUUCAUUUUUAGCCAUGGCGUUGUCAGUUUGUUUUAGAUUUAUGAGUUUGACUGUCCCUUUGGUAU
rnacentral:lncRNA from 1 species